AGAGUUUGAUCCUGGCUCAGAGUGAACGCUGGCGGCAGGCCUAACACAUGCAAGUCGAGCGGCAGCACAGCAGUAGCAAUACUGUGGGUGGCGAGCGGCGGACGGGUGAGGAAUACAUCGGAAUCUACCUUCUUGUGGGGGAUAACGUAGGGAAACUUACGCUAAUACCGCAUAAGACCUGAGGGUGAAAGCGGGGGACCGCAAGGCCUCGCGCGAGAAGAUGAGCCGAUGUCGGAUUAGCUAGUAGGUGGGGUAAAGGCCUACCUAGGCGACGAUCCGUAGCUGGUCUGAGAGGACGACCAGCCACACUGGAACUGAGACACGGUCCAGACUCCUACGGGAGGCAGCAGUGGGGAAUUUUGGACAAUGGGCGAAAGCCUGAUCCAGCCAUGCCGCGUGAGUGAAGAAGGCCUUCGGGUUGUAAAGCUCUUUCAGUGGGGACGAUAAUGACGGUACCCACAGAAGAAGCCCCGGCUAACUUCGUGCCAGCAGCCGCGGUAAUA
rnacentral:rRNA from 1 species